rnacentral:rRNA from 1 species
AGCGAACGCUGGCGGCAGGCUUAACACAUGCAAGUCGAACGCAUCCUUCGGGGUGAGUGGCAGACGGGUGAGUAACACGUGGGAACGUACCCUUCGAUCUGGGAUAACUUCGGGAAACUGGAGCUAAUACCGGAUACGCCCUUUUGGGGAAAGGUUUACUGUCGAAGGAUCGGCCCGCGUCGGAUUAGCUAGUUGGUGGGGUAACGGCCUACCAAGGCGACGAUCAGUAGCUGGUCUGAGAGGAUGGUCAGCCACACUGGGGCUGAGACACGGCCCAGACUCCUAGGGGAGGCAGGAGUGGGGAAUAUUGGACAAUGGGGGGAAGCAUGAUGCAGCCAUGCCGGGGGAGUGAUGAAGGCCGUAGGGUUGUAAAGCUCUUUUGUCCGGGACGGUAAUGACGGUACCGGAAGAAUAAGCCCCGGCUAACUUCGUG